rnacentral:rRNA from 1 species
AAAUUGAAGAGUUUGAUCAUGGCUCAGAUUGAACGCUGGCGGCAGGCCUAACACAUGCAAGUCGAACGGUAGCACAGAGAGCUUGCUCUCGGGUGACGAGUGGCGGACGGGUGAGUAAUGUCUGGGAAACUGCCUGAUGGAGGGGGAUAACUACUGGAAACGGUGGCUAAUACCGCAUAACGUCGCAAGACCAAAGAGGGGGACCUUCGGGCCUCUUGCCAUCAGAUGUGCCCAGAUGGGAUUAGCUAGUUGGUGAGGUAACGGCUCACCAAGGCGACGAUCCCUAGCUGGUCUGAGAGGAUGACCAGCCACACUGGAACUGAGACACGGUCCAGACUCCUACGGGAGGCAGCAGUGGGGAAUAUUGCACAAUGGGCGCAAGCCUGAUGCAGCCAUGCCGCGUGUAUGAAGAAGGCCUUCGGGUUGUAAAGUACUUUCAGCGGGGAGGAAGGUGUUGUGGUUAAUAACCGCAGCAAUUGACGUUACCCGCAGAAGAAGCA